rnacentral:rRNA from 1 species
GACGAACGCUGGCGGCGUGCCUAAUACAUGCAAGUCGAGCGCAGGAAGCUGACGGAACUCUUCGGAGGGAAGGCAGUGGAAUGAGCGGCGGACGGGUGAGUAACACGUAAGGAACCUGCCUCAAGGAUUGGGAUAACUCCGAGAAAUCGGAGCUAAUACCGGAUAGUUCAACGGACCGCAUGGUCCGCUGAUGAAAGGCGCUCCGGCGUCACCUUGAGAUGGCCUUGCGGUGCAUUAGCUAGUUGGUGGGGUAACGGCCCACCAAGGCGACGAUGCAUAGCCGACCUGAGAGGGUGAUCGGCCACACUGGGACUGAGACACGGCCCAG